CUUCCCCUGGUCAGCCCCGCGUGCAUCGCUUUUUGGAAGGCGAGGGAAAAGAAAAGGGGAAGUGGCAGCGAGAGAAAAGAAAAUAGGAAGCCAGCCAAACCUAGCCCGCGCCUCCGCAACCCCUGCCGCCGCGGCCUCCUCCUCUUCUGCCGCCGCCGCCUCGGCCUCGUCUCCUUUCUUGCCCUCAGCGGCCACCAGCGACCUCCGAGCCCCCCUUCUCCACCUCGUCACUGUGGUCACCUAGCUUGAGCUCGAGCGAAGGAGCGACUCGGCAGGACGCCGGGGGGCAGGGGCAGCAGCCAGCCGCGCCUCGCCCCGUGCUCUGCAGGCGCCCAUCGGCCUCGACCCGGCCGACGGCAGGAGGAGCUCGAGCCGAAGCCGAGGAGCGUGGCCUUGAUCCGGACUUGACUGCCUACUGGAGCAGCUGGAGAGAAGUGGUGGAUCCGACGGGGCUGGAAUCCCUCAUCACCGGGCGUGGAGGAUGUAUGACUCGCGAAGGAGGUAGCAGAUUGAGCAAAAUGGAGUGGCCUUUCCCAUCCGGUGGCCUACGCGUGUUGUGACUGGCUGCACUCCACUCCUUUCUCCCCUUGGUGGAUAGCUUAAUAUGAGGGGAGGCACAUAGGUUUGCUAAUUCUGUUUCUGGGCUGGCCUAUGAGAUGGAGACCAAAGCAAACUUCAGCAGGUUUCAGAUACCAAAUUAACUAGGUUUACGCAAAUAAGCUUCUUCAUUGUUUCCCUUCUGGGGAAAAGUUGUGGUCAUGUUAGUUGGUUGGUUGGCAUGCAUCUGCAAUAACUGCGUGGUGAAGCACUGGUCCUAAUAUGUCAUGGGUUUCAGUGGCACGUAAGUAGGAUCUACUCAUUGUUCCAUUGACUGCCCUCCGGUGAAUUUUUACCCAUUUCCCUCUUUGAUGCUUUUGCGUCCAUAUGUCUAACUUGGUCUUCUUUCAACAUUUCUCAUGGUUUAUGUGGCAGCGUGGUUGGCUGAUGGCUUAUAGCUUUCUGUAUCAUCUAUCAAAUGUGCGUGCUAUGAUAUUCUGUAAGGCUAGGAUCAUUUCUUGCCUUCAUAAUGUGUUAAAUUAAUUAUCAUAGUUAUAUGGUGAAUCUCGACAAUCCCCCAAGGACCAGGCCAUAGCUUAUGGUCCCUGUUUGGGUUUAUUUUGUUGCAAAAUGUAUUUUUGGAAAAAUGUUAUUAAGUUAUCGCUUUCUCCGCCUACCUCCCUUACAUCCUAAGGCUUCAUACCUUUCUCAUUUUAGUUGUCUUUUCGAGAUCGCCAUUACAUCCUUGAUGAACUAUACAUGUGCGACACAAGGCAUAUCAGACAUGACUGUUUCAUGACCAAGAUCGACCAGAACUGGCAUAAAAGAAAUCAUUCACACAAUCAAGUUUGAUAAUUGAAAUUUUUUGUAGCUUGCUAAUGUCGUCGAUAUAAGCCAUCUUUUAUGUUGUACUGGUGGACAAAGAAGUAUAACAAGUUCAUAUAUUUUAUAUAUUGUAUUAUACAGUAGAGUGCGGGAUGUAUGAUCUGUAUGAAACUAACAUCAUAUAUUGCCUUCAUAUUAUCACUUAGUACAUCCCCAGUUAAUGUAAUUCAUUUUUUUUCAUUUGAGUGAGAAGUUGAUGGUGCAAUUUUUCAUUGUUUUUCGUUAUCAUGUUUGAAUUUAUUAAAGGUUUCUUAGCAUUAGUUUCUUCUUGCAUGCAGUUUUCGUCACUGGGUCACCUGAUGGGUAAUGGGUGAGUGAGUCUGCAUGCUUGUUAUCAGCUCGUAAAGCGGAUGAUGGCGUUGAUAGUUUGGCCAUUGUGGAGGAUAUUAGGUGCUCAAUCAAACAUAUAAACCCUUCUAGAGUACCCGCAUAACCGAGGCAACUGCGACCGCUAGCGAUUUUGGGUCGCUCGAUCUACCUACGUGUAAAGUUUUUUGUACUUUUCAUCUGCCUGGCAAACAUUCGGCCGCCAAUUCUGCCUCACGCAACCUAGUUUCAGUUUUGGAAAUGACGGCUGGGCCAUCCUCCGUCGCGGGACCGGCUAUCCAGUGCGUGUUGCGUGGGCUCGUUCGGGUGGGUGUUCGAUGUGUGUUGCGGUAAAAAGGUGGGUGGGCUGUGAUCGUGGUGGACUGGAGCGCUUGUCGGUCACAGCAUGGGGUGGAGAGCCAGGACCAAUCCUCUCGUCGAAACCUAGCGCACUCGGGCCAAUCCUCUCCAUGCUCGAGCCCCUCUUCUCUUUCGGCGCCGUCUUGCCUCCCCUGAUCUCUCCCAUCCACCAUCGCGAGCGGGGCGGCCGUGAGAGAUCAUCAGCGGCGACGAGAGAGCUGGCGGAAGAAGGGGCCAGGUCAAGGCGGGUGUUGGAGACCGAAGGGGUCUGGUGGGCGUGGUGGCAGGGCUGCAGCGGCCUGUGGGGCGUCGACCAGACUAGCAGCGACCCCGAAGGAGGGGAAGGGCCCGACAGGCGCGUCCAGGGAGGACAGGCUUGGGGGCCUCGUGGAUUGGGGAGAUAGCGGCCACCGGGUUUCUCCAAUCGAUCUGCGAUCUGGACAGGGCCACGACAAUGCAGGUGAGGGGCGUAGGCGAGCGACCCUAUGCAGACGCGCGUUGACAGGUAGAAGGCGUAACACUCCUCCCACCUUUGCUUCUCCCCUCCUCCCCUUUGCUUCCCACUCCUUUCCGAUCUAGCCUGCCCACCUACGUCCGCAUCGUUUUUCUCUAAGUUUUUACUGCUUGAUUCUCUGGUUCUCUGAUGAUCUUAUUUUGAUUCCUCAACUUUUAGUUACUUGUGGAGACUAUAAGAAGAAUUUUGAGGAAGAGUUUGAUCAAGAAGACCAAUGUGAAUUAUAUCUCUCUUGAACAGAGUCACGCCUGUUCCUGCAUUUUUGGAUUUUUCUGUGUAGUAGAUCACAUGGCAUGAUUUUGUACUCCUCUUACCCACUGAGCAAAGCUACAUUUGUAAAUGAAGGUCUUAGAAGUUUUCGUUUUUACCUUUUGGUCUGAUAGAUCAGUGCAUGGUGUUGGUCAUGUGAACAGAGGUUGUCCGUUCUCCUUCUGAUAGAUUGGUACAUGGAAUUAUUAUGUACAGAUGACCCUUCCAAGAUGAAUAUUUGAGUGCUCUUCUUGUUUGAAAUUUUUUGUUCACAGGAGUAGGCUGACACCCGCAGUUGUUUGGCAUCAAAUUCAGAAAAUACACAUCCUAAGAUUGAAGCAAUGCAACCUGAACCAAAGGCAAAGAGAAGACGAGGUCGAACCCCAACACCGGAAGGUAUCUUGGCACCAAACCAUCGCGAGGAGAAGGGGAUGUGUUGUUGUGCAUGAGAUAAGCAGCCCUGUUCAGAAGUGCUUUAUAGAGGUCCUGUAAGCUUUCUAGACAUACAUGUUGUUUCCAGUCUCUCUCGGCUUCCCCAAUCCUAGAGAUGUUCAAAAAUAUGAUAAAUGUGGGGCCUUGGUGCUAGAUGAGACACUGACAUGUACUACAGAAAAGAAAAGAAAAAAGAUUUGGAAUGUAUAUGGCAAAAUGAAGGACAACAAUAUCAAAACCUGGUCUACAGGAACCAAACACACCUACGAUGAAGAGUUGUUUAGACAAUGAAAUCAUGGUCAAUAUUGAUGGAACAUGCAGUGAUGGCUCUACCUAAUAUCACCGCCUUCAUGUCUUUCCUGUUGGCAGCAGAUACAAGACUCAGCCAGGGGUUAAGAGACCAGCUCUAUCUAUAUGAUGCAUCUCUGCUAAAAUAGUUUGCUUAUAAAGCCAAUCAUGAACAAAGGACAAGCAUAUGCUUUCGCCUUCAAAUGCACUUCCAAGGGACUACGCCUGAUCGUCUACUCAAUAUAAGUUGCAAGAGCCCCUUGUUAUAUAACUUAGUAUUAGUAUAAAUGUCUACCAAGACUUCUGUGUUUAUCAUCCUUUUGGAUCUUAUGUAAUCCCCUUAGACCAACAACAAUUAACUUAGUGCAUCAUUUUGGAUCUUAUGUAAAACAAACCAUGACAAUCCUGUGCGUAUGACUAUCGCUUGCUUGCUGCAUACACUAUCAUGAGCUAUGCUUUUCGAGCAGCAAUAUUUUAAUGCACACUCUUUUAAUA